rnacentral:rRNA from 1 species
UACGGAAGGGGGCUAGCGUUGCUCGGAAUCACUGGGCGUAAAGCGCACGUAGGCGGCUUUUUAAGUCAGGGGUGAAAUCCUGGAGCUCAACUCCAGAACUGCCUUUGAUACUGAGAGCUUGAGUCCGGGAGAGGUGAGUGGAACUGCGAGUGUAGAGGUGAAAUUCGUAGAUAUUCGCAAGAACACCAGUGGCGAAGGCGGCUCACUGGCCCGGUACUGACGCUGAGGUGCGAAAGCGUGGGGAGCAAACAGGG